rnacentral:sRNA from 1 species
GCCCAAACAAUAAAUUCAAAGAUAUUAAUCAAGUGUUCUCUGAUUUAAAACAAAAACAAACUAUUACAUUGGUAAUUGUUAUAAAGUUUUAUGGGCAUUCAUUUACUGGUACUAAGGGGUAAUUAUGUAAGUUAAAAAAAUCAGAAAACUAAUGAUAUUAAUUAGAAAACAGUAACCUCCAGUUUCAGAUAGUUGGUUUUCCUUUUCCCCAUGAAUCUGUAGUGUGUAUCAAAUUGGGAUCUGAAUGUUUAUUGACGGUUUGUUGAAUUUUUAUUUUAUUUGAUCUGUUGUGAAACAGGUAUUAUUAGUUUUUCUAGUGUUGAUUUUUCACUCAAUGUUCAUGAAAAAAAAUAUAUUCAGCAAUGCAAUGCUUCUGUCUAUUAAGAGACUUCAAUAUUUUGUGUUGAGUUUAUCAUGUCACGGGUGUCUAUUAAAAAACAAAUUCCUGUCUUUUUUUUAGGGAGACCUGCAUUUAUGUAUCCCUCCUUUUUUUCAGUGGCUAUACAAGACAAAUUUUUGACAGUCUUUAGUUUUAAUAGUUACUCUGUAUAUGUAUUUAGGAAAGAGGCCUUUAAAUUGUUCAAAUAUAUCCAAUCAAACCAAAUUAAUACUUGAUUACUUGUACAUGCAUGUGAAAUUUUGGAUUUGAGAACAAAAAAUUGGUUUAUUUGUUCCACAGAUACAGUGGAUUAUUAAAUUGGAAUUCAUUCUUGAAUUUGUAGUGGUAAUUUUAAACAUACCAUUGUACAGUCACUCUUUUUGUUAAAAUGAACACUUGGAAUCGAUAUUGUUGCCAAUUGUAAUAAAUAUGUCCAUUUUUUUCAAGAUGUUUGAUUAAAAAAUGUAAAUUCUUUAAAAUAGAAAAAAAAUGUCAUAAUAAAAUAUUGAUGAAUC